rnacentral:rRNA from 1 species
ACGGAAUGCUUUACACAUGCAAGUCGAACGGCAGCAUAGAGAGCUUGCUCUCUGAUGGCGAGUGGCGAACGGGUGAGUAAUAUAUCGGAACGUGCCUAGUAAUGGGGAAUAACUAGCUGAAAGGUUAGCUAAUGCCGCAUACGACCUACGGGUGAAAGCAGGGGAUCUUCGGACCUUGCGUUAUUAGAGCGGCCGAUAUCUGAUUAGCUUGUUGGUGGGGUAAUGGCCCACCAAGGCGACGAUCAGUAGCUGGUCUGAGAGGACGAUCAGCCACACUGGAACUGAGACACGGUCCAGACUCCUACGGGAGGCAGCAGUGGGGAAUUUUGGACAAUGGGGGCAACCCUGAUCCAGCCAUUCCGCGUGAGUGAAGAAGGCCUUCGGGUUGUAAAGCUCUUUCGCAAGAGAAGAAAACUUGCUAUCUAAUAUAUAGUAAGCAUGACGGUAUCUUGACAAGAAGCACCGGCUAACUACGUGCCAGCAGCCGCGGUAAUACGUAGGGUGCAAGCGUUAAUCGGAAUUACUGGGCGUAAAGCGUGCGCAGGCAGUUUUAUAAGUCAGAUGUGAAAUCCCCGAGCUCAACUUGGGAACUGCGUUUGAAACUGUAAGACUAGAGUGUGUCAGAGGGGGGUAGAAUUCCAAGUGUAGCAGUGAAAUGCGUAGAGAUUUGGAGGAAUACCAAUGGCGAAGGCAGCCCCCUGGGAUAACACUGA